rnacentral:rRNA from 1 species
UACAGAGGGUGCGAGCGUUGUUCGGAAUUAUUGGGCGUAAAGGGUGCGUAGGUGGCAGGGUAAGUUUGAUGUGAAAUCUCCGGGCUUAACCCGGAAACUGCAUUGAAUACUAUCCUGCUCGAGGUUUGGAGGGGGGACUGGAAUUCUCGGUGUAGCAGUGAAAUGCGUAGAUAUCGAGAGGAACACCAGUGGCGAAGGCGAGUCCCUGGACAACACCUGACACUGAGGCACGAAAGCUAGGGGAGCAAACAGG